ACUUGGUAAGUAGAUGUAUUCUGUGAACUGUGAACCGCAUUAAGAUUUUCACACAAAAAUAGAAAAAAAACAAUAAAUUUUGGGGGUUCCCCAUACUGUGAACUGAAACUCAAAAAUUUUUUUUUCAUCAAACCCAUACGUGUGGGUAGGGUUUGCGCGAGAGACACUUCCAAAGUGGUAAAAUGUGUCCCCCCCCCUGUAACUUCUAAAAUAAGAGAAUGAUAAAACUAAAAAAAUAUAUGAUGUACAUUACCAUGCAAAAUUCCACCGAAAAUUGGUUUGAACGAGAUCUAGUAAGUCGUU